GAUCCUUGGUCUCAUUAUGGUUAGAAAAAUGCUGGACUGGGUGUUCAGCCAGCACGACCUUGCCUGGUUGGAUGAUAUCCUGCCCGAAAAGGAGAAGAAGAAAGAGGACGACAAGUCAAAGAAGAAAAAAGGCAAAGAUGAAGCAGAGAGUGAUGAGGUGAACUUUAACAGAGGUUCUAGGCAAAUAAAUGAUUCUAUACAGAAAUAAUAGUGGGUUCAGUUCCAUAUUGAUUGUAAUAAAUAUUAAAGGGUCACUAUAGUCACCAGAACAAGUACAGCUUAUUGAAUUUGUUCUGGAGAGUAGAAUCAUUACCUUCAGGCUUUUUCUAUAAACACUGUCUUUUCAGAGAAAAUGCAGUGUUUACAUUACAGCCUAGUGAUAACUUCACUGGCCACUCCUCAGAUAGCUGUUAGAGAUCCUUCCUGGGUCAUGGCUGCCUAAAAUGCAUCCAAACAUUCAGUAUCUCCUCCCUCUGCAUGCAGACACUGAACUUUCCUCAUAGAAAUUCAUUGAUUCAAUUCAUCUCUAUGAGGAGAUGCUGAUUGGCCAGGGCUGUGUUUGAAUCAUGCUGGCUCUGCCCCUGAUCUGCCUCUUUGUCAGUCUCAGCCAAUCCUAUGGGGAAGCAUUGUCAGCAGACUGCUUGUUUUUCUGAGACAAACAGCAUGCAGAGCUACAGCUUCAGGCUUGCAUACAGUAAGAUUUUGCUAUAUUUAUGCAGGCAUGAGGGGCUCAGGGGGCUAGAUGGUGGUUUUAACACUAUAGGGGCAGGAAUACAUGUUUGUAUUAAAGGGACACUAUAGUCACCAGAACAACUACAGCUUAAUGUAGUUGUUCUGGUGAGCAGUGGCCUACUAAUAGGGGGAGGGGUGGGCGCCCGGGUUCCACUCGUUCGGGAGGUGCCAUCCACCCUCUUAGCGAGAGCUACGGCUGAGCAGCAGGAGGAGGAAUGCGGAGGUGCACAGAGACAUGCAAUGCCGUGCUGUCAACAUUUGAAAUGGAGAGGGGGUACUGGGCAGUAAUUUUUGUAGAGGGGGGACUGGGCAGGGAUUUUUGUAGGGGGAGGGGCAGGUUUUUUUGUGUAGGAUGGCAGGGGAUUUUUAGAAGGGGGACUGGGCAAGGGUUUUGUAGAAGGAGACUGGGCAGGGGGGUUUGUAAAGAGGGGACUGGGCAGAGUUUUUUGUAGAGGGGGUUGCAGGGUUUUUGUAGAAGGGGGAUGGCAGGGGUUUUGUAGAAGGGGGGGUUUGUAGAGGGGGCUGCAGAGUUUUUUGUAGAGGAGCCAGGUGUUUUGUAGAAGGGGGGGCGGGCAGGGUGUUGUAGCAGACAAUAAAAAAAAAAAAGAAAACAUUUUUAAAAAAAUUAGUAUGUGUUUUAACAUUUCAAUUGUGGUGGAGGAUGCCAAACUCAGAAUUCACCCCGGGUACCAAAAGCUCUAGGUACGUCCCUUCUGGUGAGCAUAGUCAGUCCCUGUGUUUACAUUACUGCCUAGUUACACCUCCACUGGAAGUCACUCAGACGCGCUGCAUGGAGGCACUGAACUUUCCCUAUAGAUAUGCCUUGAGUCAAUGCAUCUCUAUGAGGAGAUUCUGAUUGGUCCAGAGUAACAUUUUGCUGCACUUCUGCAUUAGCCUCCCAAUGCUUUCCUAUGGGAAAGCAUUGGAUUGGCUGAGAUCGUCAAUUUUGAUGAUCUCAGCCAAACAGGUGGAGUGUGGGUGGAGCUAGCACCAGCAGUCUUGUGCGGUUCUGGAAAAGGGAAUGUUUUAUACAUUUUUAAGGGGGGUUAAUGGCAGAGCUGGGGACUUAAUCUGUUUUUUUUACUUUAUAGUUAAGAAAUACAUGUUUGUGUUCCUGACUCUAUAGUGUUCCUUUAAACAAAUUGCAACUAAACAGGAGAGGUGGGUUUGUUUUGCACUGUAUAGCGUUGGCACUAAGAAAUGUGUCACGAAUCUGCUCAACAUAUGUUACUUUUUGUCAACUUCUGAUGCAAAUAAUUCUCACUUCUAAUGUAGGAAAGAGCUAGCCAUCCUGGGGCAUUAAAUUCAGAUUCCUCUGCCAAUGGCUCUGAUGUGGAUCGAAGGUGAGUGGACCUAUCCCUUAUAAUGGACCUAUCCUUGUUUUACUAUUGGACAAUCAAUGCAAUUUAAAGAAAUAAAAAGUAUGAUUAUAUUUUAAUGUGAUGCACUAUAUAGACAGCUGUGUCCUUUCAACAUACACUCAAAAAGGUAUUCUUGCUCAAAGAAGGUGCCUUCUUUUUCUUCUCCCGUUUAUGUACUGUUAUCACUACGUGACUCUCCACUACCCUCUCACCGUUAGUUUCCCCUCUCAGUACAUUCUCCCAUAUCUUUGGGUUUAAAAUUAACCUUGAUAAAUCCAGGGCUAUGUCCCUAUACCUUAUGAGUGAUACAUGACCAAGCCAAAUAUGCCAAAACAUUGUAGUAGCUGGUAGCACCCUACCAUGUCACAGUAAAGUUCUAAUUACUGGCACUUAUCUUAGUGUGUGUCUAUCCUAUUUUGAUAAACUGGGUGCUUGGCAUUACUCCUAUAGAUUGCUGCUUUGCUAGAUGUCCCUACUUAAGAACAGUGUCAUUCUAUAUCUCUAUACUGUCCUCAUAUGAACAAGGAAUUAUAUGAAAAAUAAGUACACCUGUGCAGUAAUCAGAAAUCCUAUUACUGCUUUUACUAUCACACUAAGGUAGCUUUACAUUCUACUAACCUCAUAACUCAGCAGUCUGCUUGUUAAUAAUGACUCUUUGAUCUAAUGCCACAUUUUAAAAGCUAUACAAGAUUUAAAACCACAGUGUACAUUUCUUCUGGGUUUUCCAAUAUUGCACAUAGUAUUUCUGAGAAACAAAAGAUUCAUGUGGGAAACAAGAUUAUGAAAUACUAAAAGGGAAGUUUCAAAAAGUGCUACUUUAGAUCACUUUUAGCAGUUCUGUAAAAUAGUUUUCUAUCUUAAAGGGACACUAUAGGCACCCAGACUAAGGCAGCUAAUUGAAGUAGUCUGGGUGCUGUGACCCUUUUGCACUUAGUGCUGCAAUGUAAAACAUUGCAGUUCCAGAAAACUGCAAUGUUUACAUUGCAGCUCUAAGUCUGCCCUCAGUGGCUGUCUACCAGACAGCCACUGGGGGCACUUCCGGAAUCUAAAUGGACUUUUGGUCCUUUACCCGUUAUCGUCACGGAUCUCCAGUGUCUCUAGCUUUUCCCCAAAGGAAUGCAUUGAAUAAUGCUUUCCUAUAUGGUGGUCUAAUGCGCGUGUGCUGCCAUUGCCGCGCAUGCGCAUCAGGUCUCCCCCGCAAGCUAACGUUGGCGGGGGAGGAGCAUGGGCAGAGCCCACGGCUUUGUUUUCCUGGCAAUGGAGAAUCCCUAUAAUUACCAAACAGCUCAGAAAUUUAGGACAAAAUAGCAGAGCGACAAGAGGAAUUAGUUCAGAAAAUAUUUCAACUCCUUUUUUAGGCCGUAACUGUAAACCGCGUUGAAUUUACAACGUAAAAGUUACGUGUAUAAAUACUGAUCACAAGUAAAGUUUAGGCAUAAGUCAAUGAUGUAUUUCUUAUUUUUAUGCUCUGAAUGUGCUUUAUUAUGUAGCAUCACACAUGUGUUUCCUUCCCUUUACAGUAUUACACUGCAUUUGAAGAUAUCUUGCCCCUCGUCCCCUGCCAUCAGCUAUCCUAGGAGUGCCAUCGGUGCGGUCCCACAGGUCAAAAUCGAGAUGGAUUCAGAGUAUGACGACUCAGAUAUAGAGAGAAAUCCUAGAGACAGGGGAAGUGAAACCACUUUAUAACCUCUGCCCUGUUGUCAUCAAUCAAUACUAAAAUCUGUCCACUGGAAACUAUACAAGAUUGGAUGGAUUUCAGAUAAGGCGAUGCAAGAAGGUGCCUAGAGUAUCUAUAAAUUUAGGGGUGGGUGACUACCAAAUGCAUGACUAAAAGACAAUUUAAACAAGUUACUAAUGAAUUAAUAAUGUUUGGUAAAUGUGCACAGGACAACCACAUUAAAACCCACACUACUCCAUUCUACACGAGCGGGUGAGGUGCUUCCUGGAAUGUAAGCAGCGAAUCAGUAACUCCAAACGAUGUGCUAAUAUAACUACAGUAAUUUUUACAUGUAGAGCAGACCAUUGCUCACAAACAGUUCAAAGAUGGGGGAGAGGGUCAGCACAGGCAGAAACCAGUUGCAUGCUACACUGACCUAACCAAGUUAAUUUAUGUUUCUUCAGAGCUUGUAUAUGUUUUCAGAACAGUAGGUAUGCUCAAACCCAGACAUGAGAACUUACAGGAUGCUAGAGCUUCGGCAAGGCUGGUGUAUAGUGGUGGUACAAUCGCCAUAUUUUUGUAAAUUUGUAAGUUAAUGGAACUUAUGUGAUCUUAGGGCAAAAUUAACCAUAAUCACAGCAAUUUCUGAUGAUUAAUUCAAUGUUAUAAUUCAUUUUUUUUAUUGCAUACUACAAUAUAGCACUUUCAAUCCCAGUAAGUGAAGAAUUCACAAGUGCCCAACAAAAACAUGGUGGUCAGGGAACCAUAGGUGUUGACAUAAGUAGGAAGGCCCCAAACCCAAAGUGAAGCAAAACAAACUAAAAAGUUUAAAAGAUUCCCAGGCACAAAUAUAAGUGUAUCAUUUUCUUAAGUGAAAGUGAAUACAAUAGUGAAACAACUAUCUGCCAAUCAGCUACAGAAUAUUCAAGGUUUUUCACUAAAGUGAAAACUCUAAGUGAAUUUAAAAUGUAAGGCCAAAUUAAACUAACUGAAAGCAGAGAUUAGAUAUUUUUUUUCUAGUUUGGCUAUGUUGGCCUUAAAUAUGAAAUUCACUCUAAAAUCAUGACAAAGCCUACUACAUGUAUAGAUUCCUGUUCAGGUCCAGUUACAAAAUUACAUUUUAUAUAUUUACGCAACAUUUUUUAUUUUUUUUAUUUUACAUUUCAUUCAUUCAUCCAUCCAUCCUUUACAGAAAUAUUGGAAGUAUUGGAGUCUAUAUGGCAUGCCUUAUCAUGUGACUUUUCAAACAAGGUUUUUGUUGCAUGGUGUAAGCGGAAUUUGCAAAGACCCCCGAUGGUGACAUCACCGCUGGGGGUCCGGUUGCCGCCGGGGGGACUGGCAAAGAUGAGUUCUACUUAUCUGAACCUGCCCCUCAGGGGCACUGCCAUCUUCUUCCAGAGUGUCCUCUUCAGCUUCUUGCGCUUCACUGCCAGAAGCUGACAUAACUGCUGUAUUAUCAUGCAUGCGGUAGCUUCGCCAAGUGUCUAGAAGUUUCUGCAGACUGCAGGACUGAGAGAGGCAAGGCAAUGGAGUAAAGAUAAAUACAACUUUUAUUUCACACAGCGGAGGGGGGCAGUAAUUUAAAUAACUAGUAUGACACUGUAGCAUUAGGCAUGCAUGUUUCCUUUAAUAAUCAGCUGUAUGGACUAAUGGAAGCUCCUGUUGCUGUUUAAUGGUGUGAAUUAAGUGUCACUUUAUAUAACAUUUUAUAAGCUUCGAGUGAGAUUAUGUAGAAGUUCAAGCUACCUCAACUGUAACCAGCUAAAAGGAUAGCUAUUCUCAAUCAUUAUAUUGCUAAUGCACAUCUUUUUGAAAAUGUAAACUGUAUACAGACUGGAGGCAAUACAAAAUCUAUACAGGUAAUUCCUGACAUACUGGAGGUACAAUGCACAUUUAAAGGACCACUCCAAGCACCAUAACCACAACACACUUCUGUAGUGAUUAUGGUAUCAGGAGUGCCAUGUGUCUCCCAAGAUAUUAUUAUUAUUGCCAUUUAUAUAGUGUCAACAGAUUCCGUAGCGCUUUAAUAGGAGGGAUUUAAUUGUAAAUAGGACAAUUACAAGAAAUCUUACAGGAACAAUAGGCUGAAGAGGACCCUGCUCAGACGAGCCUAAAGUCUAUAGAAUAUGUAGUCAAAGCAUUCACAAAUGCUGCUUAACAACUCACCUGGGGUCCACCAAGCAACGGUCACCUUCUCCUGUGCCUCAGGUCAGCUCCUGCCUUGAGCGAAGCUGGCCAAUUCAGGGCUUAGCUCAUUGACGGAGAAAACUUGGCUCAUGCCGUCAGCCAUUGAGUUGCCCCUGAACAACAGGGCUUAGCACAGUGGAGCUUACAGAAGCUCUUUAACUCUGACUAUACAGUAGGAGGCAACUGAUACCACAAAUGUGCCACCAUCUUAAACGUUUAACAGCCCACACUGUAUUUGGA